rnacentral:rRNA from 1 species
AGACCCGAAACCCGGUGAUCUAGCCAUGGGCAGGUUGAAGGUUGGGUAACACUAACUGGAGGACCGAACCGACUAAUGUUGAAAAAUUAGCGGAUGACCUGUGGCUGGGGGUGAAAGGCCAAUCAAACCGGGAGAUAGCUGGUUCUCCCCGAAAGCUAUUUAGGUAGCGCCUCGUGAAUUCAUCUCCGGGGGUAGAGCACUGUUUCGGCCAGGGGGCCAUCCCGGCUUACCAAUCCGAUGCAAACUGCGAAUACCGGAGAAUGUUAUCACGGGAGACACACGGCGGGUGCUAACGUCCGUCGUGAAGAGGGAAACAACCCAGACCGCCAGCUAAGGUCCCAAAGUCAUGGUUAAGUGGGAAACGAUGUGGGAAGGCCCAGACAGCCAGGAUGUUGGCUUAGAAGCAGCCAUCAUUUAAAGAAAGCGUAAUAGCUCACUGGUCGAGUCGGCCUGCGCGGAAGAUGUAACGGGGCUAAACCAUGCACCGAAGCUGCGGCAGCGAACGUAUCACCCAAGACAACUUUGCACAGUUGACGAUUGACGGAGCGAAGCGACGUCAAAGCGUUUUACAACGUCGAGUUGGCUUAGGGAUACGUUCGUUGGGUAGGGGAGCGUUCUGUAAGCCGUUGAAGGUGGCCUGUGAGGGUUGCUGGAGGUAUCAGAAGUGCGAAUGCUGACAUAAGUAACGAUAAAGCGGGUGAAAAGCCCGCUCGCCGGAAGACCAAGGGUUCCUGUCCAACGUUAAUCGGGGCAGGGUGAGUCGACCCCUAAGGCGAGGCCGAAAGGCGUAGUCGAUGGGAAACAGGUUAAUAUUCCUGUACUUGGUGUUACUGCGAAGGGGGGACGGAGAAGGCUAUGUUGGCCGGGCGACGGUUGUCCCGGUUUAAGCGUGUAGGUGUGUGUUCCAGGUAAAUCCGGUUCACUUUAACACUGAGGCGUGAUGACGAGGCACUACGGUGCUGAAGCAACAAAUGCCCUGCUUCCAGGAAAAGCCUCUAAGCCUCAGGUAACAUCAAAUCGUACCCCAAACCGACACAGGUGGUCAGGUAGAGAAUACCAAGGCGCUUGAGAGAACUCGGGUGAAGGAACUAGGCAAAAUGGUGCCGUAACUUCGGGAGAAGGCACGCUGACAGGUAGGUGAAGUGGUUUACCCAUGGAGCUGAAGUCAGUCGAAGAUACCAGCUGGCUGCAACUGUUUAUUAAAAACACAGCACUGUGCAAACACGAAAGUGGACGUAUACGGUGUGACGCCUGCCCGGUGCCGGAAGGUUAAUUGAUGGGGUCAGCGCAAGCGAAGCUCCUGAUCGAAGCCCCGGUAAACGGCGGCCGUAACUAUAACGGUCCUAAGGUAGCGAAAUUCCUUGUCGGGUAAGUUCCGACCUGCACGAAUGGCGUAAUGAUGGCCAGGCUGUCUCCACCCGGGACUCAGUGAAAUUGAACUCGCUGUGAAGAUGCAGUGUACCCGCGGCAAGACGGAAAGACCCCGUGAACCUUUACUAUAGCUUGACACUGAACACUGGUCCUUGAUGUGCAGGAUAGGUGGGAGGCUUUGAAGUGUGGACGCCAGUCUGCAUGGAGCCAUCCUUGAAAUACCACCCUUUAAUGG